rnacentral:rRNA from 1 species
AUGGGGGUGGCGCAGUCGUCCCCGGACGAGCCCGUCCCCGACCUGGCCUCCAUGCUCGACGCCUGCCCCGGCCCGACGGAGAGGGCGCUGCUCGCGGCGGUCCUGGAUGGCGACGUUCCCCGCCUCAAGGAUUUGGUUCGUGCAAUGGAUGUUGAGGAUAGAGCAAACCUUGCUGACAUGGAUAUACUAGAGGGCGUUGGACUGCUAGGAUUGGCCUCAUACACGCGUAAAAUGAAGGUCUGCGAAUACUUGGUAGAGGAGCUUGGUCUUGACGUCAAUGCUGGUGGCUCCCGUGGUGGUCCACCACCUUUGGGUUGUGCAGCGUUGUGUGGAGAAUUUGUUGCUGCCAGAUAUCUUCUCAACCAUGGAGCCGAUCCAAAUAAGAUAGAUGGGACAGGCUUUGCUCCUCUUCAUUGUGCUGCCAAAAAUGGGCAUGAAUGUGUACUGCGUCUAUUAUUAUCCAGAGGAGCCAGUGUGGAUAUAGAUGGCGCUCAUGGGACGCCCCUGCACACUGCUUCUUACUAUGGGAAUGCUGGUGCUUUGAAGAUUUUGUUGGACCACCAUGCAGAUCCAAACAGGGUGUCAGAAAUUUCAUGUGCCCCUCUACUUAUGGCUCUUAGUUCUACCAAGCAUGGAGUGAGUGAAUCUGACUCACUGAACUGUGUCAAGCUACUUGUCAAGGCUGGUGCUGACAUGAAUUCUGCUAAUCCGUGCACUCCCUUGGUGGUGGCAGCUACGUAUGGCUUGGCUGAUUGUAUUAAGUACUUGCUAGAGGCUGGUGCAAAUCCUAACAUUCCAGAUGAGCAGUGCGGUACGACACCAAUAGAAAUCGUUGCAGACUCUGGAAGAAGAGAGCUCGUGGAGAUUCUAUUUCCGUACACCAAACCCAUUCAAUGUGUGCCAAUCUGGAGUAUUGAUGGAAUCAUUACCCACGUAAAAGCAAAGCACUUGAAGGACAAGGACAAGGUAGGUCAAGAUAAGAAGGCUGAGCUGAAAUCACUUGGUGCAAAAGCAGUAGAGGAGAAGGACUACGCCGGUGCAUCAAAAUUCUACAGUGAGGCAAUCAAAGUGGAUCCUGAAGAUGCAACGCUCUAUUCAAACAGGAGCUUUUGCCAUCUAAGGAUUGGUGAAGCACGUGAUGCUCUGGUGGAUGCCAAUGCUUGCAUAAGGCUGCAGCCUGAUUGGCCAAAAGGUUACUGGCGGAAAGGAGCUGCCUUAACGGCACUCAAGGAUCACAAGGAAGCAUGUGAUACGUAUAUGGCUGCGAUGAAGCUGGAUCCUACAAGUCAGGAGAUUCAUGAAGCAUUUUGGGAUGCUGUUGCGGCAAUGAGGGCGGAACUUGACGCUGGAGAAAGCGGCAGCUCAUCUGAAUCUGAUUAG